rnacentral:rRNA from 1 species
GACGAACGCUGGCGGCGUGCUUAACACAUGCAAGUCGAACGGUGAAGCGCCUUCCUUUUUGGUGGGUGUGGAUGAGUGGCGAACGGGUGAGUAACACGUGAGUAACCUGCCCCCUUCUUCUGGAUAACCGCAUGAAAGUGUGGCUAAUACGGGAUAUUCUGGGUCUGUCGCAUGAUGGGUCUGGGAAAGAUAUUGUUUCGGUGGGGGAUGGGCUCGCGGCCUAUCAGCUUGUUGGUGGGGUGAUGGCCUACCAAGGCGGUGACGGGUAGCCGGCCUGAGAGGGUGGACGGUCACACUGGGACUGAGACACGGCCCAGACUCAUACGGGAGGCAGCAGUGGGGAAUAGUGCACAAUGGGCGCAAGCCUGAUGCAGCGACGCCGCGUGAGGGAUGGAGGCCUGCGGGUUGUGAACCUCUUUCGCCAGUGAAGCAGGCCUGCCUCGUUUGUGGGUGGGUUGACGGUAGCUGGAUAAGAAGCGCCGGCUAACUACGUG